rnacentral:rRNA from 1 species
AUUGAACGCUGGCGGCAUGCUUUACACAUGCAAGUCGAACGGCAGCGCGGGCUUCGGCCUGGCGGCGAGUGGCGAACGGGUGAGUAAUACAUCGGAACGUGCCCAGUAGUGGGGGAUAGCUCGGCUAAAGCCGGAUUAAUACCGCAUACGACCUGAGGGUGAAAGCGGGGGAUCUUCGGACCUCGCGCUAUUGGAGCGGCCGAUGGCAGAUUAGCUAGUUGGUGGGGUAAAGGCCUACCAAGGCGACGAUCUGUAGCUGGUCUGAGAGGACGACCAGCCACACUGGAGCUGAGACACGGCCCAGACUCCUACGGGAGGCAGCAGUGGGGAAUUUUGGACAAUGGGCGAAAGCCUGAUCCAGCAAUGCCGCGUGUGUGAUGAAGGCCUUCGGGUUGUAAAGCACUUUUGGCGGGAACGAAAAGGACUGUGCCAAUACCACGGUUCGAUGACGGUACCCGCAGAAUAAGCACCGGCUAACUACGUG